CGAAAUGCGAUAAGUAAUGUGAAUUGCAGAAUUCAGUGAAUCAUCGAAUCUUUGAACGCACCUUGCGCUCCUUGGUAUUCCUUGGAGCAUGCCUGUUUGAGUAUCAUGAAAUCUUCAAAGUAAAUCUUUUGUUAACUCAAUUGGUUUCUACUUUGGUAUUGGAGGUCUUUGCAGCUUCACACCUGCUCCUCUUUGUUCAUUAGCUGGAUCUCAGUGUUAUGCUUGGUUCCACUCGGCGUGAUAAGUUAUCUAUCGCUGAGGACACUGUAAAAGGUGGCCAAGGUAAAUGCAGAUGAACCGCUUCUAAUAGUCCAUUGACUUGGACAAUACUUUUAUGUUCUGAUCUCAAAUCAGGUAGGACUACCCGCUGAACUUAAGC
rnacentral:misc_RNA from 1 species